UGUGUGGUUUAUGCUUCUGUUGCAGAGCAUGGAGUGGUCUGAUUUGUUUGUGGGUGUCUGCAUGUCCCUGUGCAUAAGAGAGUCUCCAUGAUGUAUAAUCCUCCAGCAGUUGGUGUAUAAUGGUCUCUCUCUGCACAGAGCAAUGCGCAGUGUGUGGAGCCAGCUGCAGUUACCUCCCUAUUUCUGAAAAGAUGAAGCCACAGGAACAGGUUUACUUUCAUGACCCAGUUAAGCUCGUUCAGUCUCGCCUGGAGCACAUUUCCCAGAUAGCCGUAUUCCAAUCCAGGCAAAAGGAAAGAGUCGCUGCAUACUUCAAGGAAAAGUCUAUGGAACAGGAGAGGAGGUUGAAAGAGGUCAUGGAGCAAAGCCAC
rnacentral:lncRNA from 1 species